GACGAACGCUGGCGGCGUGCCUAAUACAUGCAAGUAGGACGCAGUUGCGAACGGGUGAGUAACGCGUAGGUAAAUGCCGAGGAGAGGGGGAUAACUAUUGGAAACGAUAGCUAAUACCGCAUACUAGUAGAUGGAGCUGCGUUGUAUUAGCUAGUAGGUAGGGUAAUGGCCUACCCAGGCGACGAUACAUAGCCGACCUGAUCGGGUUAUCGGCCCCCCUGGGACUGAGACACCGCCCCGACUCCUACGGGAGGCAGCAGUAGGGAAUCUUCUGCCAUUGUGGGAACCCUUACCGCGCAACUCCGCGUGAGUUAAGAAGGUUUUCGGAUCGUAAAGCUCUGUUGUUAAGGAAGCGGUACUUACCCAGAAAGGGACGGCUAACUACGUGCCAGCAGCCGCGGUAAUUC
rnacentral:rRNA from 1 species